rnacentral:lncRNA from 1 species
UAUUACAGUAGGAACAGAGGCAACAGCAACAUGGGUGGCUGGCAGUGAUAGAAAGGAUUUUAGUUUUGAUACAUGGAAUUUGACAUGCUUUUUGAAAAUCUUCAGAUGGUGAUGUACAAACUACUGCAGGAACAUAUGAGGAAAGAUGAGAGAAUCCACAGACUCUUUGAAGGAAGCAGAUUGCUCCUGCAGGGCCUGGGAGACAACCAAACACUGGGUCCUUAGGGAGAGGUGCCAGAGGAAUUGGAAAAAGGCCACAGGCAGAAGGAAGGCUCCAGCUAAACUUGAUUGACCCAUCAUUUGGAUGACCCGAAACCACAGAUGCAAUAGAAGAAUGGAACAAAUUUGUACAUUUUGUCAAUAAAAACUUUAUCUUC